rnacentral:rRNA from 1 species
GACGAACCGUGCGAACGUUGUUCGGAAUCACUGGCUUAAAGGGCGCGUAGGCGGCCUGCCAAGUCCGGGGUGAAAGCCUCCAGCUUAACUGGAGAAGUGCCCUGGAUACUGGCGGGCUCGAGGGAGGCAGGGGUUGUGGGAACUUCCGGUGGAGCGGUGAAAUGCGUUGAGAUCGGAAGGAACGCCCGUGGCGAAAGCGAGGUCCUGGACGUCUACUGACGCUGAGACGCGAAAGCUAGGGUAGCGAACGGG